GACGAACGCUGGCGGCGUGCCUAAUACAUGCAAGUCGAACGCAGUGGGGACGGGUGAGUAACCCGUGGGUAACCUCCCAUCAGAGGGGAUAACACUUGGAAACAGGUACUAAACCGAUACUGAUGGAUGGACCCGCGGUGCAUUAGAUAGUUGGGGAGGUAACGGCUCACCAAGGCCACGAUGCAUAGGCGAUCUGAGAGGAUGAGCGGCCACACUGGGACUGAGACACGGCCCAGACUCCUACGGGAGGCAGCAGUAGGGAAUAUUCGGCAAUGGACGAAAGUCUGACCGAGCAAUGCCGCGUGAGUGAAGAAGGUUUUCGGAUCGUAAAGCUCUGUUGUUAGAGAAGCGUUAUCUAACCAGAAAGCCACGGCUAACUACGUGCCAGCAGCCGCGGUAAUAC
rnacentral:rRNA from 1 species